AGCAGCCGCGGUAAUUCCAGCUCCAAUAGCGUAUAUUAAAGUUGUUGCAGUUAAAAAGCUCGUAGUUGAAUUUCGGGAUCAAGGAAUCGGUCAUGCCUUGGUAUGUACUGGUUUUAUUGGUUUUCACCUUCUAAAGAACCAUAAUGUCAUUCAUUUGAUGUUAUGGGGAAUUAGGACUGUUACCUUGAAAAAAUUAGAGUGUUUAAAGCAAGCUUACGCUUGAAUACAUUAGCAUGGAAUAAUGAAAUAGGACAUCAGAUUCUAUUUUGUUGGUUUCUAGGAUCGACGUAAUGAUUAAUAGGGAUAGUUGGGGGCAUUAGUAUUCAAUUGUCAGAGGUGAAAUUCUUGGAUUUAUUGAAGACUAACUACUGCGAAAGCAUUUGCCAAGGAUGUUUUCAUUAAUCAAGAACGAAAGUUAGGGGAUCGAAGACGAUCAGAUACCGUCGUAGUCUUAACCAUAAACUAUGCCGACUAGGGAUCGGAUGAUGUUAAUUUUUAAUGACUCAUUCGGCGCCUUAAC
rnacentral:rRNA from 1 species